rnacentral:lncRNA from 1 species
GUCUUCCAUUUGUCCAGUAGUUCCUUCACUAUGAUGUUUUGGUACGGAAAUGUAUUCUGUGCCAUGAUAUACUGGAAGUAUGUGAUCUGCUAUGUUAUGGCUAGGUAUGGCCCCCACAGACUCAUAUAUUUCGAACAAGCCUGUGGAGGUGAGGGAGUAGAAUGUGGUGGUUUGAAUAUACUUGGCCCACAGAGUGACACUAUUUGGGGGUGUAGGAGUAGGUGUGGCCUUGUUGGAGGAUGUGUGUCACUGUUGGGGUGGGCUUUGAAUUCGUAUACUUAAGCUCCCCCCACCCAGUGUGGAAGAGAGAACCACCUCCUGGCUGCCUGCAGAAGCCAGUCUCUCUUCUAGUUGCUUUCAAAUCAGCUUCUCCAGCACCAUGUCUGCCUGUAUGCUGCCAUGCUUUCGGCCAUGAUGGUAAUGGACUGAACCUAUGAAACUGUAAGCCAGUCCCAGUGAAAAGUUUCUCUUUAUGAGUUGCCUUAGUCAUGGUGUCUCUUCACUGCAGUGAAACCUAACUUAAGACAAAGACUAAAUACAUUCAUCUAUCACAUGUCUGCUAAGCCCAGGGUUAUAGUCAGGUGGCAGAAAUAACAAUUGAUCCAUUAUUCUACAGUCUUCCCUUUACUGUGGGUUCUUUGGGCUUCAUACACCCCCAUGCAGAUACUACAUUGAGAUUAUGAAAUAUUUUGAAACAUUUUGCAGGUGGCCACCUCCUCUCUGCUUGGUGGGAGCCAUCUGCUGCUCAGCGGCCUUCCAAUGGGGUCACUUCCUCUUGUGGACUUUUGAGGUGGUUCUUUCCUUGAUCUUCAACAGAGCUCUGGGCCCUUGACAUCAAUGUCUGCGCCGCUUAGCUCUGAGGCAAUGUGCCCUUGAAUGGCAUGCUGCUGUAGGCUGUGCCCUUGAGUGGCUGCUGCUGUAGGCUCUGGAGUUGGAAACCACUCUCUUGUGGGGCAGUGGGCUGUGCACAGGCAGCCUGGUCUCCAGUACAGCAUAGGUGUUGGACUCCAGGGGACCCAAUGGGUGCUGAUUUCCACCUAUAUGGUACAGAAGGUGUUCAGUCAUGUCUCCUGGACCCCUGGCUCCUAUCGAAGUGACCGCCCCCACAGCCCCCACAGGAGAGGUGUGUGACUAUCAGUCACGCAGACAGUGUCCCAAGCUCCUGGCAUUCUGGCUAGACUCCACCCCACAGUUACCUGACUAUAGCCAAGUAUGCUCCUCCCCACAGUUGUCUGAUGGCCCAGCCCACUAUAAAAGGGGCUGCUUAGCCCCUCCGUGCUCUCUUUAAGCUUUCACCUUUCUUACUCUCUAGCCAUCCUUCUCUCUCCCCCACCCCCCACAUGGUCAUGCCAGGCCCCUCUCUCUCUUUCUACCUUCUCUUUUUCUCUGCCUUUCUACAAUAAAGCCCUAAAACCAUAGACUGUCUCUGCUCGUCAAGACCUGCCAUACUUGGAUAGGCUUUCCCCUAAUGAGCUGCGUCUAACCUCCCACUGGAAGGCCUUCCUACGCUCCUGCUACGGACUGGACCAAGGACUCUCACCCGCGUGGGAAUCAUCCAGCGUCCCCUCUCUCCUGCCCUCUCCUCCCUUUGGCCCCGGGACUGGCCAAGCUGCCCCCAGGGCCCCCAUUCUGUUCUCAGCUCUUCCGUGGUAUCCAGCAUGAGAUGCCCAAGGCUGAGAACCUGGUACCUAGGACUGCCCCAUGUCCACCACCCACCGAGCUGGGGUCCAUCACGCAGCCAGACACCCACCGGGGGCCAUGUGGAAAGCAUGUGGCAGUCCUCCUGUGUCCGCCUGUCCAGAGCACCGGAACUGGACACGGGUUUUCUCCCACUCCCCUUACUCCCCGCCGUCCACUGCCCCGCACUCUCUCUUUGGCACUUGAUAUGUUUUAUGUUCAUAAAAUGUCAUACUGUAUAAAAUAGGGCUGGAAUAUCUAUGCAACAGCAUUGACUCUGGGUGUAUAUAGAUUAUGUUUUGAUAACCUUUAAACAUUAACUUGUUGGAGUCAUUUGCAUUUCCCUAACAUUGGAAGAGGUUUUUGUGUUUGUUUGUUUGUUUGUUUGGUGGCUUUUUUCUUUUCUUUUUUUGAGACAGGGUUUCUCUAUGUAGCCCUGUUGUCCUGGGACUCACUCUGAAGACUAGGAGACUAGGCUGGCUUUGAACUCAGAGAUUCACCACCUUUGUCUCCUGAAUGCUGGAAUUAUGGGUGUAUGCCACCACUGCCCAGCUGAGUUUUUUUCAUGUAAGAGAGUUUUUUAGCCAGUUUCUCAGUUUUGCUCAAUCUUUCUAACUGAAACAGUUUCUAAGUAUUUCUCUUAUGGUUCCAAGAUCCUGAGUAUGUGUGCAAGAGGCAGUUAAAGACAUUGACAUUUUUAGCUAUCUUUUCCUAUCUCUGGUGGAAGAUGGGGAAAAUUUUUUUUUCUAUGAAGAUUUUAUAAGUUAAAAGUUAACAUGUCAUAUUUUCUUUUGUAUCAUUAAAGAUAUUCACUAUUAGAAACAGAAAGCUAUUCUAUUUCAUGGAUGAGUUGACUAUUCAGAGAACUUGAAUUUUAAAAAGGUUCAUUGUGAUUGGCCAUUGGGCAUAUUCAAAAUCAGGACAUGGCAGUGUAAAGGGCUGUAGGCUUUUUGGAAAAUAAUUUGGAAGCUAAAGUUAAGCAUGCGCUUCCCACGGACGCAGUGAUCCCACUUGCAGGUGUCUGCCAGUUAGAAAUGAAAAUACAUCCACACGAAGACUUGCAUGUGAAUGUUCAAAGUAAUAUGUCGUCAUAAUAUCCCCAAACUGGACACAGCUGAGAUGUCCAUUAGCUGGUGAAUGGCUAAACCAAAUGUCCUCUGCAUGUACAGCAGGAUAAUAUAUCAAUAAAAAGAAAAACACACUCCCAAAACAAAUUAGCAUGAAGGACAUUAUAGUAUGUAAUAUGAACUACAUAGAAAAUACCAUGUGAGGACUGGAGAGGUGGCUCAGUGGUUAAGAGCACUCACUCCUCUUCCAGAGCUAGGUCCUGAGUUCAGUUCCCAGGAACCACAUGGUGGCUCACAACCAUUUGUAAUGGAACCCAGUGCCCUCUUCUGGUGUGUCUUAAGACAGCAACAGUGAACUCAUAUGAGAUAAAUAAAUAUGCCCAAAAGCAGGAAUGUGGUUGCUCUAGGUUCUGGCAAGGAGUAUGAACUGAAGGGCACACUAGCCCAUGAACGUUUCCAGGUAUAAUAAUAGUCUGAGACUGUAUUGCUGGCGUGGUAAAUUUACAAUAGAUGGAUUUUGUGAUACAUGUUACAUUUUAAGGUUAUUUGAAAUAGGCGAGGAAAUUGGUGGCGGUGACUCUGUGGUUAGAGCACUUGCUGCUCUGGCAGAGGAUUGGGGUGGGUUCCCAGCACCUACACUGGGUGGCUCAUAACCACCUGCAAUUUCAAUUUGAGGGGCAGCUGAUGCCUUCUCUGUCCUUUGUGAGCAUAUGCAUGCACAAGAUGUACACAUAGAUAUUCCGUAUUUGUGCACUGUGGCUAUAGUAAGUUAGUGCUGUACAGCUACACUUUGGGAGAAAUAAUUUGGUCAAAAUGAUAAUGCUUAUAUGCCUUGAUGUUACAUAGAAAUGUUCUAAGGAAAUAAUUAGAAAUGCAAACAAGGAUUUGAGUUGGAAGUGUUCCCUAUACUGUAUAGAUUAACC